rnacentral:tRNA from 1 species
GCCUGGGUAGCUCAGUGGGUUAAAGCCUCUGCCUUCGGAUCAGGUCAUGAUCCCAGGGUCAUGGGUUCGAGCCCCACAUCAGGCU